rnacentral:lncRNA from 1 species
CAGGUGGAGACACUUAGGUGUUAAAAAAGAAACUCCUCAAGGCCGGGGAUUUAACUUGGUGCUGCAUCUGCUGCAUCUGCCUCACAAGCGUAAGGUCCUGAGUUCGAUCCCUGGUACCAAGAAACUCCGCAUGGUUGGCAGAACUACACAGGAUGACACCUGCAAGGUAACCUGCAUGAGGUGGUUAAUCAGCGCAGGCUCCACACCUGAUUUGGGGCUCCCAGAAGUACUCAUCCCUGAGUCAGACAAGAGCGGAAGUCCCAGGGGGAGAAGAUGCAGUGGCUGUGGUUGACAUGCGUCCCGCCAGCUCUUCCUCCACAGACAACAGUUGGCCUGAGUAACUGAAAAAGACGUGACGUGAAGAGUGCAUUUUCACGGAGAACGAAGGCAGCCCACGGGCAGGAUGAAGAGGAGGUGGGGCCAGAGGCAGCCCCAAGGGCACAGUUAUGGACACUCUCGCAAGAAGGGCAGGAAGGCAGAUUUCUGUGGCAGCUGCAUAUCAAGGACCUUGCGCUUUCGAGGCAGGCAGUGGAACCCCUGAGCUAAAUCCCCGGCCCUGGUAUUUACUUCAAAAUAAUGUCCAGAACAGCGUGAGACAGGUGAAGGUACAGAGGAAACAAGCUUGGCGGUGAGUUG